rnacentral:rRNA from 1 species
UACCUGCAGCUCGAGUGGUAACCGCUAUUAUUGGGCCUAAAGCGUCCGUAGCCGGUCUGGUAAAUAUCUGGGUAAAUCGUGAGGCUUAACUUCACGAAUUUCGGAUAGACUGCCAGACUUGGGAUCGGGGGAGGUCAGAGGUACUCCAGGGGUAGCGGUGAAAUGUUGUAAUCCUUGGAGGACCACCGGUAGCGAAGGCGUCUGACUAGAACGAGUCCGACGGUGAGGGACGAAGCCCUGGGGCGCAAACCGGAUUAGAUACCCGGGUAGUCCAGGGUGUAAACUAUGUGGGCUUUGUAUUGGAGGUCCCACGUGGGCGUCCAGUGCAGAAGAGAAGUUGUUAAGCCCACCGCCUGGGAAGUACGGUCGCAAGGCUGAAACUUAAAGGAAUUGGCGGGGGAGCACAGCAACGGGAGGAGCGUGCGGUUU